rnacentral:rRNA from 1 species
UACGAAGGGGGCUAGCGUUGCUCGGAAUCACUGGGCGUAAAGGGCGCGUAGGCGGGCUGUCAAGUCUGGGGUGAAAUCCCACGGCUCAACCGUGGAACUGCCUCAGAUACUGACGGCCUCGAGGGAGAUAGGGGCGAGCGGAACUGUGAGUGGAGCGGUGAAAUGCGUUGAUAUUCACAGGAACUCCGGUGGCGAAGGCGGCUCGCUGGAUCUCUUCUGACGCUGAGGCGCGAAAGCCAGGGGAGCAAACGGG